rnacentral:lncRNA from 1 species
UCGAAUCCGUUUAAUCCCGUCAUGACACGAAUCAAGAACAUGAUUAUUAGCUUAAUUUGUAUAAAGUUUUAGGAAAAAAAGGGUGUCCGUUAUAAAACGGGAGAGAGAGAUGAACCGGGUCGACCCGUCAUCAUCGCCAGAAACCGGACGAAGCGUCGCGUUUGAAGCACGAAAAUUGCGGCUAAAACCCAUCACCAUACCUUCGAUCUCGCCGGAAUUAGGCCUCGCCACCGCCUGGAUCUUUCUCCUCAGCUCACCCUCAUCAUUUUCAGACGGGUCCCGUCACCUGAAACGGUCGUUUAGCCGCCGGUCGGCCGCCGGAAGUUCACGUUUUUUUAAGCUCGAUUCGUCGUCGCUUCCGAGCGUGAAUCGUCACCGCUGGCGCCAUCGACCUCAACGUGGUCCGCACUAUCAGAUCUGAGUUUCCCGACCACCAUUGACUGAACUACGGGCAUUUCGGUAAUUUCACAUAUUGGUGGAUAAUUUAGUAAUUUCAGACUAAGGGCAGUUAGUUAAUCUAGAUUUUGGGGUAAUUUGGUAAUUUAAGUCUUUUAAGGCAUUUUGAUAAUUUCAUACUCCGAGGGUAAUUUCAUAAAUUCAUAUCUUAGUAGACAAUUUGGUAAUUAGAUUGAGGGCAGUUUAGCAAUUCGCCACUUCAGGGUAAUUUGAUAAUUUAUGUUUCAAGGGUGUUUUGUAAUUUUAAGAGAUAGGAGUGUUUUAGUAAUUUUAGAGAAUUAGAAGAUGUGUAAUAGGAAUAAAUAAUCAUUUCGAGUUUUAUUGCAUAGCAUUAUUGUAUUUCACAUAUACGUGUAGUAAUUAUGUCGUUUCCUUCAAUUAAGAGGACUCUCAAACGAGAAUCAACUCACACACAUGAACAAAAAUCGAGUUUGAAUAUUGUAACUGUGAGUGAAAUAUACAAAAUAUAUUUUCUUUGUAGUUUAUUAUGAUUUUAAAGUAUGGUAAAGUAUGUUUAUGAAAUAAGUUUUUUAAUACCUUUAUUUAAUGAUUUUUCUAUAAUAGAUUUUAUCUACAUAUUGAAUACUUAUUAUUAAAAAUGUUUAUAAUUAUUGAUUUUAUUAUCGAUUUUAAGUAAUUACACAACAAUAUCUUUAAAGAAAAGAAAAAUAAAUUUAAAAUAUGUUAAAUGGAAACGAAAUGAGAUUUAAAGUAUGAUUAUAUACUUAUAUAUGUGUGUAUAAAGGUUGUUUGUAAAAUUAUUAGACAGUAUCAUUUUCCUCCAGAUACAGAGAUACAGUUGAGAUGAGAGGUCUUUAGAACUUGUCUAAACACAUAUGGAGGUUUUGGGCCGUUUGUUUGGGCGCUUUUACCUUUUGAAGGCAUAUGUAUGCAGUAUGAUGAUUACAAAGAUACAGAUGAGAUAUAAGUCUCUGGGCCGGUACACAAAGGUUUUAGGCCUUGUACUUGAGUGUAUUUUCCCCAUAGGAGAUUUACAGGUACAACAGUCGAUCCAAUAACAAUAAUUAUUUUAAAAUUAUGGCCAGGUGAUGGUGCCAGGAGUCGUAAAUGUUUUAUUGGGAUAUUUCAGAUUGUAUAAUUUUGUUAUAAUUUGUGACCAAGGAUAACCUACUGAACUUUGACAUUAAAAUGUUUGGAUGAUAUUUGGUACUUUGAUCAAGAAAGUUGGUUGUAACUAUUGGUUGAAUAUUAAAUUCUUUUGGGAGUGUUUAUUUUUUAUAAAUUUACAGGUUGGGAAUAUUACACUUAAGAGGGAAGAUUCAGCUGAAUUUUCAGUAGAAUCUUUGGAUAUUAGAUUUAUUAUCAAACGGUUAGAUGAGAUUAGAUAGACCGGUUCGUGGCAAGUUGUGAAUCGUCAUGAGUCAUCACUGACCAGGCAUGCACUAAAAUAGUUAAAACAAUACUCUGUUCCCGUUCAAAUUAACCUUGGCGUCUUGCCAUUAUUAUCAAAUGUAUAUUAAUUGAUCAAAUAAAAUUUGAACACCACUGAACUGAUCGAUCCAUCAUGCAUUCUUCAGUACGACAAUAGAUGAUUGCCAAAUUAAACAAACAAAAAAGCAUUAACCAUCAAUCAUAUGUACUUGGUUCUAAUUAGUGUCUACUUAUUCGAAUUUUGUGGCCGGCAAAUCAAAAUCAUUAGCACCUCCAUGAUUAGUGCCCCAACUGUAACAAUAAAAAAAAAAAAAAAAAGUUUGGCAAAAUAAUGGGAAAUCCAUGAUGCAUUAGUGAGAGUUAGUUUAUUUUAACUAUUUAAAAAAAAUGAUAAAUUGUAUGCUUAAAUUAUAAAUAUUAUUUGCACUGCUCCAUUGUACAACUAAUUUAACUCUUGAUAGCUUUUAUUAGUAAACGAUGCGAUGGAAUUGUGAUACAAUUAAAAAUAUAUUAUACAAUAAUAAUAAAUUAAACAAAUAAAAAGGGGUCAUUAAACCCAUAUCAGAUUCUCUCUGGUUAACUGUGAUUCCGUAUAGAACUUAACGACAUGCACACGUGCCCCGGCGCGUGAUGAAUGGCCAGUUUCAAUUUGCAUGGAAGAUGGCAUAUCAUUUUCAAGAUUUAUAAAAUGAUCAAUACCUUCAACAACUAUUUACACUUGAGAAACAGCCUCUAUGAUGUUAAUUUCACGUGAAUAAAUGCACUAGGAAAGUUUUCAAGAUAAUAGAGGAGUCACAAGGGUUCCAUUUAAAACCGAGACUCCUUAGACUCUUGUCGCUUUAUUGACAGAACUAUCCUAGACAUGCAUAAAUACACACUACUUACAAUAGAUUAUCUCCCAAGUACAAAUGUUCAUCUCCACCAUAUGCGUGAACAAUACCGUAUAUGUCAAUAGUACCGUAUACGUGAAUAUUGUCUUAUCCGUGAACAAUGUUGUAUACCCUAAGCACGAACCUCCUGCUCUGAUACCAAUUGUUGCGGAAGCGUGUGGUUGAGGAAUUACUAAUAUUCUGAUAACUGAGACUUCUGGAGAAAUAUAAAUGAGGUGAUAAACAAAUGCAAAGAAAAUAGGACAUAUAAUUUACGUGUUUCAACUUAAAGCCUACAUCAACAGGCAAAGACCAUAAGAUAAUUUUACUAAUAAAUGGGAAUUUACAAAACUGUGAAAAGCUCUCAAAACCCACAACCCCAAUACAGCCAAUUGAAUCCUCACUAGAACACUCAAGUGAAUGCUCUCUUAAAUCUCUCAAAUUACUUCACUUGCAAUUACUCUCAACUCUCUCAAUUGGAUGAUUAACAAAUUAAGAAUGACCUUUCUAUUUAUAGGGAUCAUUGUUCACCUGCCACAAGUUUCAAUUUGGCUUCAAUUUGUCAAAUUAGAAAAAUUUGGCAAUCGGUGCCAACUUUAUCAUGCAAUUGUAGUUAAAAUCUACAUACUAGCUCAAAAAUUGCAUGCUUGAAAUUUGCAUGCUAGUUAUCACAUGCAAUUACUCAAUAAUUGCAUGCUUGAAGCUUGACUUUUCAACAGCCUUCCUCUUAGACUAAGAGUGACGUCACAUAUAUUAACAUAUGCGUGAGAAUCAAACCAAUAAUACCGAUCAAUACCGUUUGAUGGACCAACAAGAUCCACAAUUUGAUAAUCUAGUUCUUCUGUUUUCAUAAUUGGGGAAGACGAUACUCUAGAUAUAUUUUCAGAUAUAUGUAAUGUAUAACCUCCAAACUUUAGUAUCUUUUCUUGGAAAAGAUUCUUCAGUGUGAUAGCCCUACUAGUAUUACUCGUUUCUUCAUUAUUUAUUCUUAGACAUUUCAUAUCAAGAGGAUAGCAUAUUUUAGUUACCUCUUCUAUAAUAUUAUGUGUGAAGUACUAGCAUGCAACUCCUAUAAGAUAUAUGAAUUCAACAGUCUUCCAAUUAUGCAUUAUUGGGUGGGUGGUUCUUUUCUUUGACGUCAGUCAUUUGGCUUGCUUGAAAGGUGAUAUUUUGAUUUUGAGGUGAAUGAGUCAUCUUCUAACUUGACCAUGGCAUCACCAACAUCAGUAUGUGUUUAGUGAUUAAUGAGCUGCUAGAUAUAUUUUCUGGAUUUUGAAUAACUACAUCAAAAUUCCAUGUAACAUUCAUUAAGGGCUUAUAAAUGAAUUUAAUGGGUUCAAUUAGUAAAAACACUAUUAUUAUACAAAUUGGGUUUAGUAAGGGUAUAUUGGGCAUUUAGGUGAGUUUAUCGAGUAAAAUUUAAAAUUUCAAAAUAUGAGGGUGGGUUUAUCUCGUAAAUAGGUUUAGUGAGUAGCUUAGUAGGUUCAAAUAGCCGCACUUUUUUUUUUACUUUUUUUUUAUCAAAAAAGUCUAAAGAUGUUCUUUAAAAUAUCCCUAUUUAAUUAAUCUAUUUUCAUUCAUACUAAAUAAAAUUGAUCAAUUAGCAUUAUUAUUCAUCACCAUAACUUAUGAUAAUAGAGUAGCAUAUUAUUAUUAUUAUCAUUUUUUAUUUUCUUCAAAUUAGCAUUAUUUAUCUCUACAAUUUUUAUGAAUUUUUUUUCAUUUAAUACAUCAUAAACUACAAUAAAAUUGAUUAACAUGUGUUGAUUCAGAACAUUAGAACUAUAUUCACUUAUAUAUGAUUUAUGCUAUGAUAAAAAUAUUGUCUUACUUAUGUAAAAGUACUGAUUUUCAAACUUUUUAAGUUGAGAAAAACAACUAAUUGAUACUUAUUAUUAGACAUUCAAGCAAAACAACAAAUAUAUCAUCUAGAUUCAAACAUUUUGCUCUAUUUAGAAUUCAAAGUAAUUCAAAUUUAUUUAAAUCUUAGAAAAAAAAAAGAAAAAAAAAAACAGACUCCAAAGUUACUAGGGAUGCAGAGUAGUGAAUCAGGUUUAUAAAAUUAACCCAUUAGUCUUUUUGGUACUAGCCCUUUUGUUGGUCCACAUUUCAAAACUUACUUCAUGACACCAAAAUACACUCACCAUUACAUGAUUGAAACACGUAAUCUACCUAAAUUCCAUCAGAAAUUUAAUAUUUUCAAAAGCCUAUUGACUUGAACGAAGACUUGUUGAGAAGGACAUGAUUUUAGCUACUUCAGUGCAUAGUAUAAAUCAAGAGGCAAAUGGGCUUCCACUUCAACUUCGGGGUAAACAUUCACACAUAAAUUAGUUGGAUAGACUAUACGGAGGACAAUUGCACAAGCAACAAGAUUUUAUAAAAGGACUAAUGAAUGGUGUUGAAGUUAUGAAUCUUUUUAAGCAAAGCAAUACCAGUUUUUUUUUAUUUCUAUCAGGCUUUUUCAUUAUUUUGUGUGUUCACCACCUUCCCAUUUCAAUUCAGAUGGCAAAGCCUAACUUGAGGGGUGUUUGGAACUUUACAAAACCGGGGUCGUGAGCGGCAAUGAAAUCCUUGCGAUGUACACGAAGUACAUUAACCCAUAAAUCAAGCGGGUGAACUUCACAUCAGAAGAGCAAGCAAAAGUGAUAGUUGCCCCAAGAAGCAACAACGAGGUCGAUGCUUCCAUGUUGAAGGAGUUUCCUGAGUUGCUAUCCAUCAAGGAUUCAAUCAUCAUCUUACCUUGAGUAGUUGGUUCACAUAAAAUAACCAAGAACCCAAUUAUAGAGGGAAAAUUGUGUUCCAAUUUAGACGGAGUCUUCACUAAUUACUUCUUGACCCAAUUGGUUAGGAAUUUAUCGAUCUUGCAAUUCGACCUUUCAAGUUGAAGGUGGCAAAUUUUUUAUUCUAGUUGAAGUAUGGAUAAUGAGAAUACCCAUGGUUAUUCCAACCCCCACUAGAAGGCUGUAAGUACGACUUUUUCGAUCCUUGCUCGAUAUUCCAGUUAAUUUUUUAAAUAUUUAUUUUAAGAUUAAAUAUUAAUCAUGCACAUUAAUUUAUUGUAUAGUAUAUUACAUUUUAUAUCUUUUUAUCUUUUAAUUUAUCCUUUAAAGAAACCAUUAUAUAUAUAUGUUGGGAAAAUAUGCUCUUUAAAAGCAUAUAUGUUUAUUUAAUUGUAAUAAAUAUUUUUUCUGAUUAAUAAAAAUUAAUGAGGUAUUUUAUUCAAAUAUCUUAAUUGCAUUAAUAUUUUUAUUAAAGUUCAUUUAAUCAUAUUAUAUGUAUUUAUGUGAUCACCAUGUGGAUUCACAUAAGACAUAAAUACAAGUUAUCUUAUGAUUAAAUAAAUUUAGUUCGCAGUUGAUAAAUAAAGUUGGACACUUUAUUUAGGUAUAGACUGUAAUAAAUUCAUUAAAUGAUUUGUCUUAAUCAUGUAUGAAUUUAUUGAUGUAGUACGACUACAUUGAACAGGAUCACAUAUGAGAUUUAAUUAACUUUGUAAUAACUGUCAGACUUAUUAAAUCUCAUAGGCAUUGAUUUACUGUAAUCUUAAUCUUGAGUUAAUUAUGAUUUCAUGAUUGUAAUUGUUAUUCCAUUUGAGUUACCAAUAGGCAUGACACAUACUUGUAGUCUAGAUUACCCGGUAUCUUGGUGGGAGCAUUUAUGAGUAUUGGAGUUAUAGAUUAACAAUAUAAAAUUUGUACAACACAUCUCUUGAUGGGUUUUCGGCACUUGAUCAUAGAAUUCUCUGGCCAGAGUAUGUCAACAUAUUUAGUAUGUUGAAAAUGAUCAUUAGAGAAAACCAGUAAGUAUCAAGGAAUAAGAUGUAAUCAAAUCGAUUGGACAGUUGAGAUAUCGAUUUAAUUAAUGAUGUGGUACAAAGGAUUGUGCAGUAAAGAAAUCAAUGUGGCUUGGGACGAAUUAUUAUUCGAGCAUACAAUUAUGGAGGUCAAUUCCAAUCUUUUAGUGGAAUAGAGAAUUAGGCAAGUUUAAUUACAUGCCUAAUUAUUAUAGCCACUAUUGUAUGUUCCCAAAUGAUCCCCGGGUUAACUCAUUUAAUUGACUGCACCACUACUGGAUUAAUAUGCAAGAUGACUAGCUAUUUGGGUCAAAAGCCUAAAUAUAUCAUUUAGUGGGAGGCUCCAUUUAAUUAGCUUGUGUGUAAGGGGCCUUAUGUUAUUUUACAAGGUGGGUCCCCUAUAGAAAAAGCAAGUAACGUGAGUUGUGAUUUUCAUUAUUUGGAGCCUAGGGUUUUCACUAAAGGGAGAUAUAAAAAGGCUUAUUUUCGCUAAAGAAAAAAAAAGAGCAGUCACUUUAUACAGAUAAAAAAAAAAGAUUUUUCUCUCUAUUGUUGAGAGAAAAAUUUUCUCGUGCUAGUUGCUUUGGUAAUGAUAAAGGCGCCCACACGUCAAGUGUAGAUCAAACCUGAGUUAUAACCUGGAAGAUCAUUGGUGACAGUUCGUGAUCUAACAAGCGUGGUGGUGAUGGACAGUGAUCUAACAGGAGUGGUGGUGACAGAUCGUGAUCUGGGAGCCUAAAUCACUUCAGCGAAAAAAGCUAAAUCGGAUUUUCAAUGUACGAUUUCUAGAUUACAAAUUCUUAUAUAUUGUAUGAGAGCGAUCUUAAAAGGUUUUAUAAAAAUUUAAAAACCUGAUUUUUCUCCAACAAUUGGUAUCAGAGCCAUCUCAUAUUAAUAUAUAAGAAUUUCGUAUGAAAUUAAUCUUGAAAUUUAUGUAUUAGAGUGGAACAAUUUAUUCAGAUAUAUAUUAUUUCUUUAAUAUAUAAAUAAAGCAUGUUAUGGUUUGUCUUAAUUCAUGGUUAGAUUCUCUAUUGUAUUUUUUCUUUGGAUCUCUAACAAGAGGGGUGGUUUUUUAUCACCAUGUUUCCCUCUUGAUUUAUUUACUGUUAUAGAAUUUUUGUAAGCCAAAAUUGGCCUAGGAAAUUUGUAAAUCAAUCUCGGAUUUUCAAGAUCAAACGGACAUGAAAGAAACGAAGGCUGGAUUUUUCAGCGGCGGCCACCAACCAACAACGCAAGCACGCACGCAGCAGCCAGCGCGCGCGGGAAGCGUGGCUUGUGCGCGCAGCGCGCGCUGGCACAGGCUGCUCGCGCAGCAAACAGCGCGUGCUGCACGAGCAGCAAGUUGCACGCGCGAGUUUGGUGUGUUUCCGGUGACGCGGCAGCAGGUGGUUCGGCGUCGGAGGUCGGCUGGCGUCUGAACAGUGGCUGAGGUUUUUGUUGAUGGCGGCUGGGGAGAAGGAAAAGAAAAAUGUGAUUUUAGGGUUUCAUGAUUUUUAUCAUGGAGGUCCCUAUAGUUUCAUAUUCUUUCUUGUGGGCAGAAAAUUUUAAUUUUUUGCAUUUAAGUUCAAACAUAGUUUUGGGCUUAAUGAAUCCUAGUUUUGGGCUUAAUGAAUCCUAGUUUUAGGCUCAAUUUCAAUUGGGCUUAAUGGAUUAAAAUGCAUAGAUAAAAUUGAAUAUAUUAAAUUUAUUUUUGGUCCAAAAGUUUUAUUUUAAUAAAUUUUAUUUUAAUUAUUUAUUUAUUUUCUUUCAAAAUUAAAAGCCCAAUUUCCCCUAGUCUAUUAACAAAGACAAGCUUAUGGAAUAUGGACAUUGACAAGAAGCCCAAUGAAGAUUAGGCUUAGGGUUAAUGUAUUUUUCAUUAUUAGGAAAGCCAUGAAUUAAGAUUAUUUAAUUGUUUUUCUAUAUGUUAUGUUUUGGAUGAUAACAUGCCAUAUAGAAUAGGUAGUGCCACUCUAUGCAUAAUGAUACAUGUCAUUCAUUAAUUAUGAAUUUCAUUAUAUUGUUUGAAAUUUGCAUAUGCUUAAUAAUAUUUGGUAUCAUCUAGAUAAUAUUAUAGGAAGCAUGCAAUUAACAAUAUGUAUGUUUUAAAAAGGAAAAACUAAUUUUAAAAUAUUGAGUGGGAGAGGGAAAAUUCAAGAUAAUUUUCCCACAAGCUCCAUUGUUAGUUCAAUAAUAAAAUUAUAUAUAUACCUCGACUUCAUGAUACGGUGAUGCUCCCUUCGGAGGGUAUAUAUAUUAGAUAUUUGAUUUGAUAAACUUCUUCAAAGAUAAAAUUGAAAUAUUUUUUAAUCGAUUGUUCACCCCAAAAGUGACUAUUGAUAUGAAAAAUACGUAGAUUGAAACAAUGGUUAUACACUCAACUAAAAUUUGUUAUUAACCUUCCCAACGAAGCUCUGUUAACAAAUUUAGGCCCAAAAAGGAUAACGAUAAUUAUUUAUCAUAUCUCUACAUGAAAGUAAAUAAUCCAAUGGGUAAUUGGGUCUAGUAAGUAUAGACAUGACUUCCCCAAUGGAUAGCUUGUCAAAGCGGAACUAGAUUAUCGUUACAAUAAAUUAAAAUGCAUUUAUGAUUUUAUGCAUUUAUGUCAUUUAUUGUGAAUAUUAUUUCAAACUAUUUAUGCAUGGAUGUUUUAUUUUUCAGAAAAUGUCUUCCCUGAGCCCACUUACUAUUAUUCUGAGUCAAAACAAACUCACUGGAGAGAACUAUAUAGAUUGGAAAAGAAAUCUAUUCAUUGUCCCGACUGCUGAAAAUUAUAAAUAUGUCUUAACCCAGCCAUGCCCUCCAGUUCCAGCGGAUAAUGCUCAUAGAAAUCAGAGGAGGCUUUAUAAGAAAUGGCAAAAGGCCAAUGAAAUAGCAAAAUGCUACAUUUUAGCCUCGAUUUCUAAUAUUCUGCAGACCAAACAUCAUAACUUGGAGACUGCCACUGAAGUAAUGGAUAGUCUCCAACAGAUGUUCGGGCAGAGUACUCGCUCCGCGAGACAAGCAGCGCUGAAAGGAAUUAUGAACAGUAAAAUAGGGAAGGGCACAAGAGUUCGUGAUCAUGUCCUCAAAAUGAUGGACUAUUUAAAUGAGGCUGAGAUUCAGGGAGCACAAAUCGAUGAUAACUCAAAGAUUAACAUGGUGCUAGAAUCUCUGCCAGAAACAUUUAAGGAGUUUAAGGUCAAUUAUAACAUGAACAAAAGAAACAUGACCUUAACUGAAUUAAUGAACAAACUCCAUUCUGCUGAAGAGAUCUAUCGUGCUGAGAAAUCUCUGGGAAGCAUAAAUAUUACUGAAAAAAGUUCAUAUUCUGGGCCUAAACCAAAAGGCAAAUGCUUCAAGUGUGGACAGAAAGGUCACUAGAAAAAAUAUUGCCCUAAGAUUGUGAAAUCAGGUAUGGAAAAUCUUUUUGUAAUUGAGGCAUGUUUAGUUCAUAAUUCUAUUGACACUUGGGUGUUGAAUUCAGGAGCAACUAAUCAUAUUUGUAAUUCACUUUAUUGGUUUCAGGAAACCAGGAAAAUAAGUGAAGGAAGCGUCAAGCUGCAGUUAGGGACAGAACAAUUCAUGUCAGCAGUGAAGACUUGAUCUGUUUUAUUAUCUUUUAAUAAUGAGACUUUAGUUUGAAUAAUUGUCUUUAUGUUCCAGACAUUAAGAGGAAUUUAAUUUCAGUAGCUUGUUUGUCAAAGCAAGGGUACACUGUAAAUUUUGGAUCUUCUAUUUCUAUUUUUCAUAAUAAGUGACUUAUUUGUCCUGGUACAUUGGAAGAUAAUUUAUAUCAUUUAAGUCCAAUGAUCCAUUCUAUGCAUGACACAGUGAUCAAUAAUGAUGGGCAUACACAUUUAUCUAAGAAAAGAAAUAUUUCUUCCAACCAAUGCUACCUCUGGCAUUUACGCUUGGGUCAUAUAAACCAAAAUAGGAUACAGAGAAUGAUCAAAGAUGGGCUCUCGGGUCUAUUAGAAAAUGAAUCAUUGCCACUAUGUGAAUCCUGUUUAGAAGGGAAAAUGACCAAAAGGUCAUUCUCGGCCAAAGGAGUACGUGCAACAGUACCACUUGAAUUGGUACAUACAGAUGUAUGUGGACCAAUCAAUGUACAAGCUCGAGGAGGUUAUGAGUAUUUCAUCACUUUUACUGAUGAUUACUCGAGAUACGGUUAUGUUUAUCUGAUGCAUCACAAGUCUGAAGCUCUUGAGAAAUUCAAAGAGUAUAGGGCUGAGAUAGAAAAGCAAUUAGAUAAGAACAUAAAGAAACUUCGAUCUGAUCGAGGUGGUGAAUUUCUCUCAAGAGAUUUCAAAGAGUAUCUGGUUGAGAAUGAGAUUAUAUCUCAGUUGACUGCCCCGGGAACACCACAACAAAAUGGGGUAGCUGAAAGAAGAAAUAGAACUCUUUUGGAUAUGAAGAGAUCUAUGUUUAAUUAUUCGUCAUUACCAAUCUCUUUUUGGGGACUAGCACUGGAAACUGCAAUUUACCUCUUGAACUUAGUUCCAUCUAAGUCAGUGCCUAAAACCCCAAUAGAAUUAUGGUCAGGUCGCAAACCAAGUUUAUGACAUAUUCGUAUUUGGGGAUCACCAACACAUGUGCUGAAACCAAAGGCAGACAAAAUGGAUUCACGUUCUGAGGUUUGUAUGUUUGUGGGGUAUCCUAAAGGAACAAAGGGAGGUUUAUUUUAUAGUCCUCAAGAUAGGAAAGUGAUCGCGAGCACACAUUUCACUUCCCUCGAGGAAGACUAUAUAAAUAACUUCAAACCUAAGAGUAAGGUAAUACUUGAAGAACUGUCAAGUGAUCAGGUUGAUGCUCAGCUUUCAAUGUCUGUUACAAAACAGGAAGAACAACAACAACCAGAUGAUCAACACAGUAUUAUCCCUGAACAACCAUCACUUUUAGAACCUCGUCGUAGUGGGAGGGUAACUAGGUUACCUGCGAGAUACAUGCUUUUGGGAGAAACCUAUAUGGCUAUCUCAGAUGAACAUGUACAAGAUCCCACUAGUUACAACGAAGCUCUAAUAGAUAGAGAUGUUGAAUUUUGGAAAAAGGCCAUGAAUCAAGAAAUUGAAUCUAUGUAUUCCAAUAAAGUUUGGGAACUUGUAGAGGCACCAAAUGGGGUAAAACCUAUAGGAUGCAAGUGGAUCUACAAGAGAAGAGGAGUAGACGGAAGGGUGGAAACAUUUAAAGCAAGAUUAGUAGCCAAAGGGUUUACUCAGAAAGAGGGAAUCGAUUAUGAGGAAACUUUUUCUCCGGUUGCUAUGCUUAAAUCCAUCAGGAUUCUGCUCUCCAUUGCUGCAGUGCUAGAUUAUGAAAUUUGGCAAAUUGAUGUCAAGACUGCCUUUCUUAACGGGCAUCUUGAAGAAAAUAUCUACAUGCAGCAACUAGAUGGAUUUAUACAAAAAGGCCAAGAACAGAUGGUAUGUAAGUUGCAGAGAUCCAUUUAUGGAUUGAAGCAAGCAUCCCGAUCAUGGAACAUCAGAUUUGAUCAAGCGAUUAAAUUGUUUGGAUUCAUUCAUAACAUUGAUGAACCAUGUGUGUACAAGAAAAUUCAAGAAAAUUUUGUAGCCUUCCUAAUUCUUUAUGUAGACGAUAUUCUCCUAAUUAGAAAGGAUAUAUGAGUAUUGACUAUAAUAAAGAGUUGGUUAGCAAAACAAUUUGAUAUGAACGACCUGGGAGAGGCAAGUUAUAUUCUUGGUAUCAAGUUACUACGAGACCGGAAGAAUAAAACUUUAGCCUUGUCUCAAGCGGUCUAUAUCGAUAAGAUAUUGGCUAGAUUUAGCAUGGAAAAUUCCAAUACUGGUUUAUUACCAUUCAGACAUGGAAUUACAUUCUCUAAGGAUCAAUCACCUAAAACAUCUAAAGAGAUAGACAGAAUGAGACGAGUUCCCUAUGCAGAAGCUGUGGGAAGUCUCAUGUAUGCCAUGCUUUGCACUAGGCCAGACAUCUAUUUUGCGGUAUGGAUGGUUAGUAGAUAUCAAUCUAAUCCUGGACCUGAACACUAGAUUGCGGUCAAGCAUAUAAUGAAGUAUCUGAAAAGAACUAAAAAAUAUAUGCUUGUGUAUUCUGGUGAUGAACUCAUUCCAGUGGGUUAAACUGAUUCUGACUUUAUGUCAUAUAGAGAUUCCAGAAAAUCAACUUCCGGCUAUGUGUUUACAUUGGGAAGUGGAGUUAUUAGUUGGAGGAGUGUGAAACAAUCUUGUAUUGCAGACUCCACAACUGAAGCUGAAUAUGUGGUUGCAUCCGAAGCUGCAAAAAAAACUGUAUGGCUUCGCAAGUUCCUACAAGAUCUUGAGGUGGUACAUGUUAUAACUUCACCCCUUAAACUAUUUUACGAUAAUAGUGGUGCGAUAGCUCAAUCUAAGGAACCAAGGAACCACAAGAAACAAAAACAUAUUGAGAGGAAGUAUCAUCUUAUAAGGGAAAUAGUGCAGAGAGGUGAUGUGGAGGUUACUCAGAUUGCGUCACAGCAAAACUUGGCAGAUCCUUUUACUAAGGCCAUACCUAGGAAACCUUUUAACUUGCACUUAGAAUCCAUGGGCAUGCGUGAGAUGCCAAAUAUGCUUUGAGAGCUAGUGGGAGAUUGUUGGGAAAAUAUGCUCUUUACAAGCAUAUGUGUUUAUUUAAUUGUAAUAAACAUUUUUUCUGAUUAAUAAAAAUUAAUGAGGUAUUUUAUUCAAAUAUCUUAAUUGCAUUAAUAUUUUUAUUAAAGUCCAUUUAAUCAUAUUAUAUGUAUUUAUGUGAUCACCAUGUGGAUUCACAGAAGACAUAAAUACAAGUUAUCUUAUAAUUAAAUAAAUUUAGUUCGUAGUUGAUAAAUUAAGUUGGGCACUUUAUUUAGGUAUAGACUGUAAUAAAUUCAUUGAAUGAUUUGUCUUAAUCAUGUAUGAAUUUAUUGAUGUAGUACGACUACAUUGAACAGGAUCACAUAUGAGAUUUAAUUAACUUUGUAAUAACUGUCAGACUUAUUAAAUCUCAUAGGCAUUGAUUUACUGUAAUCUUAAUCUUGAGUUAAUUAUAAUUUCAUGAUUGUAAUUGUUAUUCUAUUUGAGUUACCAAUGGGCAUGACACAUACUUGUAGUCUAGAUUACCUGGUAUCUUGGUGGGAGCAUUUAUGAGUAUUGGAGUUAUAGAUUAACAAUAUAGAAUAUGUACAACACAUCUCUUGAUGGGUUUUCGGCACUUGAUCAUAGAAUUCUCUGGCCAGAGUGUGUCAACAUAUUUAGUAUGUUGAAAAUGAUCAUUAGAGAAAACCAGUAAGUAUCAAGGAAUAAGAUGUAAUUAAAUCGAUUGGACAGUUGAGAUAUCGAUUUAAUUAAUGAUGUGGUACAAAGGAUUGUGCAGUAAAGAAACCAAUGUGGCUUGGGACGAAUUAUUAUUCGAGCAUACAAUUAUGGAGGUCAAUUCCAAUCUUUUGUAGAUUUGGAAUUAAAUAAUUAGGCUAGUUUAAUUACAGACUUAAUUGUUAUAGCCACUAUUGUAUGUUCCCAAAUGAUCCCCGGGUUAACUCAUUUAAUUAACUGCAGCACUACUGGAUUAAUAUGCAAGAUAACUAGUUAUUUGGGUCAAAAGCCUAAAUAUAUCAUUUAGUGGGAGGCUCCAUUUAAUUAGCUUGUGUGUAACGGUCCUUAUGUUAUUUUACAAGGUGGGUCCCCUAUAGAAAAAGCAAGUAACUUGAGUUUUGAUUUUCAUUAUUUGGAGCCUAGGGUUUUCACUAAAGGGAAAUAUAAAAAGGCUUAUUUUCUCUAAAGAAAAAAAAAAGAGCAGCCACUUUAUACAAAUUAGAGAAAAAGAUUUUUCUCUCUAUUGUUGAGAGAAAAAUUUUCUCGUGCCAGUUGCUUUGGUAGUGAUAACGGCGCCCACACGUCAAGUGCAGAUCAAACCUGAGUCAUAACCUGGAAGAUCAUUGGUGACAGUUCGUGAUCUGACAAGCGUGGUGGUGACAGAUCAUGAUCUAACAGGAGUGGUGGUGAUGGAUUGUUGUGCAAAUUUUAAUGUACUCGCAAGCGCACGAAUCUAUUGUAGUAUAGAUCAAUGGUGACGAGUGUCGAUCCCACGAGGAGGUGGAUUUUAAUUAUGUGUAGAAUUAAUUUUGCAAAAUGGGUGGUUGGAUUUAUGGUGGAAAUGAUUUGGAAUAUGCUAAAACUUAAAUUAAAAUGGCGAGAAUAAAUUCUAAAAUUGGAAUUGCAAUGGCGAGAAUAAAUUGAAGAUAAUUCUAUUUGAAAUGACGUACUUGGGUAUUCGGAUCCGUAUCAACAUGCAUCAUGGGCUAAAUAAUCCGUAUUAAUGCCAAUUAAAUCAUGAUGGGGGAAUCCACACAUCAUGAACCACGCUCUAAUCAAUAUGGUGCUAAGGGCUUAUCGUGCCAAAUAAUAAUAACCUUAUACUAGAGAGCCGGUGUAACCAAGGCGGCAUCUAGACAAGAUUAGUAUUAUUUGUCGACGAGAAGUCAAAACAUUCACAAAAACUAGAGGGGAAGAGAAAAUAAAUUUACCAAAUUAAGCCCAUGACACAUGUUGAGACUUCACCUUCAACCCAAGCUUGAAAAAAAAUUAGCCACUCAUAAUUGAACUAGGGGCAAAAUGGGAAUUUAUUAAAAUACAAAGAAAAUACAAGAUGGAGAGGGAAUUACAGAAAAUGGAUCCCAAAAAUGGAUUCAGAGAUAUCAAAUUAGGGGGGGGAGGCCCCCUUUUUAUAGAUACAUGGAGUAAAUCAUGGCCAUCGGAUUAAAAACAGUUUGGACGCUCAGGAUUGCGCCACGUCAUCAGUCAACAGUCCACGGUUUGACCACGUGGAUGAACAGUAACACGGUUUGACCCGGAUGAACAGUAACACGGUUUGGUUGAAAAUAAUCCUGUGUGAUGCAUGCACCGUACGCGAGAUUUUUCGUCCACUGAUAUGCUGCCACGUCACCAUCAACAGUACAUAAGAAUUUUAGUCCAACAGGAUCGUGACACCUCAUCAGUCAAUGCCACAUCAUCGGUCAAUACCACGUUAUCGAUCCGUCUAUGUGAACAAUACCGUGAACAGUAACAUAUACAGUACCGUAUACGUGAAUAGUACCGUACAUGUGAAUAGUGCCAUUUUUCCUUUUAUGCCCCUCCUAAGGUUUUCGACCGUCCUGAGUUCAAAAGUGAUGUCCGUUUUGCCAUCUGAUCUCUCCUUUAUUGUGAAAUGACUAUAAUGCCCCUAAAAUACAUAAAAUACUUAAUUAAAAUAAAACACAUGUAAUUAAAUCACAAGAAGGUUAAAUACAUAAAAGUAAGGGUUGUUAAUAAGACUUGAAAUGUAAAAUGACGGUUUUCUCCUUUAUAAAUAUGCAUUUUCUAACACUCAACACGGAUCGUGAUCUGGGAGCCUAAAUCAUUUCAGUGGAAAAAGCCAAAUCGGAUUUUCAAGGUACGAUUUCUAGAUUACAAAUUCUUAUAUAUUGUAUGAGAGCGAUCUUAAAAGGUUUUAUAAAAAAUAAAAAACAGGAUUUUUCUCCAACAAUAUAUAUAUAGAAUUUCCCGCACUUUAAAAUCUUGGAUUGAAAAUUUUCUAUAUAUAUCCAUUUAACUGUAGCAUAAUCAUUAGAGACUCUCCUUAGAGACUCUUCUCUAGUUUCUGAAACAUUGAUUACACUAAUAAAUCUGGCUGAACAAGAUCUUCGUGGCAUGUGUGAGCAAGACAUGGGAUGCCUCCUUCAAUCUGGCAUCUUUCACAUGGAUACACUGGCCUAGUUUCCUUAGGAAAUGAAACUAUUAUUGUGUCAUCUUGUAGCCUUUCUACUUUUGGUACUUCAUGGACUUGCAAGGGCUUGUUAUUCUGCUCAUAUUCAUUUAUCCAUUGUGAAGGAAAGCUCGGUUGGUUUUGUUUGAAAGUUUUGGGAUGGAUAAUUCUUCCUUCUCUAGCAGUAAAUCUAGUGAUAAGAAGGUUACUAUGGCUCAUGGAAAACAUGUGGGUUUGGACUUUGUAGGUCAUGGUAUGGUGAACUGCAAGAGCCGAUUCAUUUGGCUUCAUGGUUAGUCCAUUUAUUUGGACUAAGACUUUUAUGGUUUCUAGAAGGGCUGGUUUGUGCAGAUCUAGGGUGAAAUUUGGUUCCACUUGGAUAACUACAUGCCCCUGGUUGAGUCCUGCCUCAACUGCUGAGAUCAAAGCUUUUUCAAAAGUUUGCCAUCUUGUUUCAAGAAUGGCAAGAAGGCAAGUGAUAUUUUUGCCUGCAAUGAAUAAAGGUUGGAUCCCAAGUCUGAUUGCACCUAAAUGCAAUUCGUUGUAUCCUUCAAUCCUAUAUCUCUUAAUAUCGUGUGGAGAGAGAAUAUGAAAAUAGGUUUCUUUAGAGCUAGAGGAAAUAGAUUGUACGACAACUUCAGAAGACUUUUACACAGACUUGAGUUUUGGCUGACGGAAAGGAACAACAUACUUUAUGGAAGAAAUUAGGGUAUUUACAUCAUAGGACUUGUAAUGAUUUAGAGGAUCUAAUCUAAGAGGUUGGAUAGCUUUUUGGUUUAUUUCUUCUUGGGUUUUGAAAUGGAAAUUUACAAUAGGAGAAUUAUUAUUUAGAGAAAAAGAUGAGGAAACCUCCAUACUAGAGGUAUGUUCCCCAGACUUGGUUAUAUUUUGGUUGUCCAUGGUCCCCGACAGCCCUAACACCAAGUCUUAAUAUCCAGGAGGAUACACAAUAGACUUCUUUUACUAGCGAUAAGCCCAAAACCAACACAGCUCUCCUUGGCCUAAUAAUAGGGCGCCACACCUCUUAGGGAAAUCUUUUCUAUAAAUCUCUUGACCAAAUAACCUAGUUUUGAGAAAAACAGGCUUUCUAGUCUUCUAUAAAGUUUCUGAUGUAGCAGAUCCGUUCUAACGGCGACCACAGAGCAUACUUUAUUAUAGAAGGGUUUUUGAAAACUUCUUUUGGGAGUACUGGCUCUUAUACCAAUUUAAAAUUAAGAAGAUUUAGAGGAUGAUUUUAUUAUAAGAAAAGAGAAUACAAGAUUUCACCCAAGAACUCUUACAACUCAAGACUCAAAGACUCGAUUAUCUAGCACACUACUAGGGAGUCCCUUUUAUAGGCACCAUACAUCCUUAUCUUUAAGGAAUCUACUUUACAACUCAACACAUUUGACUCUACACACUUGUCACUUAUUUAUUGGUAACUAUAAUUAAGUGACAAGUAGAUUUCUUGUGUGAUGUAACAUAAAGGAGUGAUAAGUCAUAAAUUAAAUUCCUUCAAGAUAAGAUGUAAUUAUGUAAAUAGUGAAAGGAGAUUCCCAGAAAUUUUCCAAUUCAAGAUUUUAAAGUGUGGAAAAUUUUAAGAAAACUUUAAAACCCUACGAUUUUAAAGUGUUAAUUUAUAUAUAACUCCUUAAUUUUAGUUAAAAGAGAAAACAUAAUGUAUCAUAAUUGACAAACAAAUACAUUAGAAGAAUCAUUUUGAAAGCUACAAGUAAAAAGGGGGUGGAUGAAUGAUUAUGAUAAAUAAUAUAAACAAAAAGACGAACCAACAAAGUUUGAAAUAUUUUUUGAAAUUGAUUCAACUUACAUGUUAGUGUAAGCUUAAGUAUGACCUUAACUUUUGUAAUAAACGUGCAUGAUGAAUGAGCUACAUAAGCAGUUUUUUUCUUUAUAGAAUACAAUAUAUGAAGAUUAAUAAUUAAAAAAAAAAUUGUCUGUGUGGAUGAUCGUGGAUGGUCAUCCUCUUGUUUUUUUUGAGUGAUUAUUGGUUACGAUAGCCCAGCUAUUAGAUCUGUCCGUCUAUCAAAUAUGUGCAAUUAAAGUUUAGUUAUUUAAUUAUUUAAUUGAAUGAAAUAUCUCUCGUUUUAAAAAAAGAUUAAUAGGACGAAAUAUUUUUUUUUCUCAAUGUUUUUAUAAUUCAGUGACAAAAACUGGUUUGCUUAUAAAUAAUAAGGUGAAAAAAAAUUAAAAAAAAAAACUAAUCUUAACCGCUCAAAAAAUAAAGAGAACCAAAGGAAAAAUAAAAAUAUAAAGAAAAAGAUCUCUGUGCAAAAACAAAGUUCGGAAUAUCUCUAACUCUAACAACCCAUUAUUUGGCAAUUACAAUUACCCCAUAAUUUUAUUGCAAAUAAAAUAAAGUCAGCCAAUCAGAAUUCAGAAUGGUCAGUCAAACUCAAGUCCAAAUAGGCAAAUACCCACUUUCCAUAAGAAAGUCAAAAGCCCAGCAAACCCCAAAACAAUCGGAUUCGGAUUCAAACCUUCACGGGUCGACCCAACCGCCCAAUAGACUUUACAGGUUACAACGAGGCAACCAGCAAAGCAAAAGCAAAAAAUGUUUCAAACUUUUGUUGGUUCAUCAACAAAAUUGUUUGUAUCAAAACACGUGUGAUUUUGAGCAUUAAAUAAUCGAAUUCUCUUAAAUAUACACAACAUCAGUGAAAUAAUACAAAAUAGUGUGUGUGCAGAACCAUGCGUAUAUGAGAACUGAGAUUAGCAAACCCUACAAAUAACUGACAUGCCGGAAGUGGUUAUGUCAAAGACUUACACUGUGGGAGCAAGCUUCAAGGGUUAAGUUUCAAUCUUAUCUUUUACAGGGACCUGUCUAUGGUACAGAUUCUGUAACAAACAUCUCCCGUCAUCCCACCAUCCGAUUUUCUAUUGUUCAGUUUCUCACUCCACAUCCAACGGCUGAUGCUGCAGUCUGUACCUUACAGAUUCUGUAAGCUAGUCGAGUCCCUUUUACAGAUAUGUGCAAGAACUAUUUACAAAAAAAGUUCUGGCCUAGGAUACUUUAUCUGCAGAUUAUUGGUAUUUUAAAAUGGGCAAUAUAUCGUUGUUUAUUUGCUUAAUUGUAUCUGAUUCAAAUCCAGCGAAACUAGAAGCAUCGAAUUCUUUUCUUACUAGCAUUUUGUGUUUAUCAACCCUGGAAAGGAGUCUAAUUGAGGCUCUGAGUUGACUACUCUAUUAAUGGGAGUUGGUUAUUAGAAAUGCCUUGAAAAAAUAAAAAGACAUAUUUCAAUUGCUUUAUAGAGCAAUGAUCGGUAAAUGCUUUCAUUUUCUUUAAACAUCUAAACUUUUUCUUCAAAAUAAGGCGCAUCAAUAAUAUCGUCAAACUAAAGAUUAAGCAUAUUUGCACGUGCCAGUUACUUUUUGGAUGUGAUUACAUUAUAGACUGGAUUUCAAGUUUUCCAUAAUAAUUUUCAACUCCUAUGUUAGUUUUCAAGUUUUGACUCUCGCGUUAAAGUUUUCAUGUCUGUAACCUAGACCUGUGAACUAGCAAAUUCCUUAUUGUAAAGGUACAAAACGCAAACAUCACUUUCCAAGUAAUUAAAUAUUAUUGUGGGCAAAAUGCGAAAUCAAAUGCACCAUAUAAUUACAGAAAAAUAAUAACACAAUUAUUUAACGUAGUUCGGUAACUAAACAUAUAUUCACGGAGACAAGAAAGAAUAAUUGUUUAUUUAACAAUUAAUAGAGUACAAAUAUUUGAGUAACGAAUCUCAUUUUUCAUAAACUCAAAUAUACCUAGUACUCUCACACUCUGAAGGAAGAUAAAUUCCCUAAACACACUUCUCUCACUUCUUUCAAAAGCUUAGAAACUUAUAAGUUUAACAAAUUUUAGGGAUGAUUUCCAAGUGAAGAAUGCAUCUCUAUUUAUAGCCAAAAUGAUUGUACUGUUGCACCAAACCCUUAGUCAAAUUGUCAAUUAAAUCUGCAACUAAAUUCUUCAAAAUUGACAAACACAUGCAUGCGGUGCCAACUUCCUCCAAAUUGUCAAUUAUGCAUGUGGCUUACCUUUUCUUUUUCAACCAAUUUGAAUAAACAACUCACCAAAAAUCUUUGACUUUUCAAUAAUUCUCCACAUUGGCGAAGAUUUGUCUAAAUCUAAGCUGACUACCAAUAAACCAUCAUCCCCAAAGUGGCUGCAUCUCUGUGACUGCCUACGUACCCAAACUUAGGAUCAAGCCAACUGUAGUUCAAAAUUCUCCAAACUCAAUGCAUUCGAAGAAUUUGAAUUAGUUUCAAUCCGUACAAAGAUUUAAUCAUUCUGCAUACACGAUUCUCCUUUCUAGCAACUUUGAAACCACAAGGCUGAGUCAUAUCAAUUUCUUCCUCCAAAUCUCCAUGCAAGAAUGCUAUUUUGACAUCCAAUUGAGCCAACUCUAACUCAUAUUCAGCUACCAAGGCAAGUAGGAUACGAAUGGAAGUAUGUUUUACAACUGGAGAAAAUACUUCAUUAUAAUCAAUACCUUCCUUCUGAGCAAAAUCUUUUGCAAUGAGCCUUGCCUUAUUUUGAGCAUUCCCAAGUCUGGUUUUGAUGGAGAGAUUUCAUCUCUUCCUUUAUAGCUAACUUCCACUGAUCACUUUCACUGCUGCGUAAUGCUUCACCAAAAGUAUUGGGGAUGUCAUCAUCAAUAACUGGAAGUACAUGGGCUACCACCAUGUCUUUAGCUUACCAUUCGAGUUUCUUUAUCUCUCUUCUUGGCCUCCUUGUUGCUAUAGAAUCAUCAUUAUCUACACCAUUAGUUGUUUCUUCAUUUUGUGGGACAUCAGAAAAAAUAACCUCUUCUUCAACUUUAGGUGCCACCUCCAUAGUUGAACAUUUCUCUUAUAUAAAACCAACUGGUACAUAUGGAGUUGCAUCAAACUCCACCCGCUGCAAUACCUAUGUGGUCUUGUUCUCCACCUGCUGAGAACUUGAAGCUUUCAUCAUUGGAGCUUCAUCAAAUAUGACAUCUCUGCUACACACAAAUUUUUUACCUUCGAGAUCCCAAAUCUUGAAGCCAUUUACUCCACCUCUGAAUCCCACAAAGAUAACUUUUCUAGCACGAGGAUCCAGUUUACCAUCUUUGACAGGAUAAUAAGCUGGACACCCGAAUAUACGAAGGGAAUCAUAGUCUUGUGCAUGCUUUCCAGACCAUAUUUUCAUAGGAGUUUUACCUCCAAUUGUAGCAGAAGGCAACCGGUUUAUCAAGUGACUUGCGUAGCUCACAGCUUCAGCCCAAAACUUUUUAUCUAAACCAGCAUUAGAUAACAUACAUCGUACUUUCUCCAACAAAGUACGAUUCAUACACUCAACCACACUGUUCUGUUGCAAAGUAUGUCUCAUCGUGAAAUGUCUUUUAAUAACCUCCUUCUGGCAUACUUGGAAGAAUGGAUCAGAAGUAUAUUCACCCCCAUUAUCAUAUCGUAAUACUUUGAUCUUUCUGCCAGUUUGAGUCUCCACCAGUUUCUUCCAUUUCACGAAAAUCUCUAAAACAUCAUCAUUUGCUCGCAUGGUGUACACCCACACAUGUCUAGAGAAAUCAUCAACAAAUAUAAUAAAAUAAUGGCUUCCACCAAUUGAUACAGUCUUGGUUGGUCCCCAUACAUUAUAGUAAACAUAUUCAAGGAUCUCACAAGUAUCAUGAUUGGUUGUACCAAAUUUGACCCUUAUUUUCUUGCUUACUACACAAUGCUCAUAGAAAUUUAAUUUACAGGCUUUGGUACCUUUUAAGAGUCUAUGCCUUAUCAGAAUUUGUAAAAACUUCUCUCCAGCAUGUCUCAGUCGUACAUGCCAUAGCUUGGUGGUGUCACAGUGUGCCUCAACAACAUUUGCUUCAUCAAUUGUACCUCCCUUCAAAUAGUACAUAUUGUGAUGUCGAAUUCCUUGCAGAAUCAUCAUAGCUUUAUGUGUAAACUUCAUUGUGCCAUGUUCAAUGGUAACCUUGUAGCCUUUAGCUUUUAGAGUACCCACAAAAAUUAAAUUUUUCUUUAAAGUUGUAACAUAUCUAACCUCUUUCAGUUUUCUGACCAUUCCAUCAAACAUUUUGAGCCAAAUUGUUCCUAUCCCCAUUGUGCAACAAUGUUGAUCAUUCCCCAUCACAACUGCAUCGGAUUCCAGAUUACAAAAAUCUGUUAAACAUUCCUUAAUGGGACACAAAUGAUAGGUUGCUCUAGUAUCAAGUAUCCACUCGCUCGAACUUGCAACAUACGCCGUAGACGUAAUAGAUAGUGAGUAGUCAAAGUCUCCAUCCACACGUGUCAUGUUUACUGCUACUGGUUUCUUCCCAUUUCUCUUUUGAGCCUUUGGACAAUCAUUUCUCCAAUGGCUUUUUUCAUGACACAAUGCACACUCAUCUCUGGCUAUAUUUAUGCUUCUCGAUUUAGACCGAGAGUUCUUUCCACCAUGCUUCUUCUUUUUCUCCAUCGUCAUUUCUCUAGUUAACAAAGCUUCAGAUGAUGCUCUUUCGGAAUGUUAAUCAUUAUUCCGAAUUUCCAAAUUGGUCAAUGUUAUGCAGACAUCUUUGAAAAUGAUCACGUUUUUCCCAUAUAUCAAGGUAGUCACAAAAUGAUUAUAUUCCUCUAGUAGUGAGUGUAACAUAAUUAUAACAUUGACUUCAUCCUUAAUAUCUUCAUCAAGAUUCUUCAAAUUAGCAAGUAACUUUUCAAAUCUUGGGACAUGAUCAUGCAUUGACACCCCAGGCUUCAUUCGAAAGCCAUAUACUUGGCUUAUUGCAUGAAGGCGAUUUUCACUCUAGUAGCCAUAUACUCUAGUAGUGAGUGUAACAUAAUUAUAACAUUGACUUCAUCCUUAAUAUCUUCAUCAAGAUUCUUCAAAUUAGCAAGUAACUUUUCAAAUCUUGAGACAUGAUCAUGCAUUGACACCCCAGGCUUCAUUCGAAAGCCAUAUACUUGGCUCAUUGCAUGAAGGCGAUUUUCACGACUUUUCAAGAAGUACUUUUCCUCCAAUGUACGCCACAAAGUCAUCGCACACUCCUCAUCUUUCACCAAGUAUUUCACCCCCUUGGUCAAAUAAGAUCUGAUCUGAUCACAGGCUUUUUCAUUCAUACAAUCCCAAAUUUCUUCAUCAUACAAGUGCCUUUUAUUUUUCAGAACAACAUCGAGAUCAAUUUGAAUAAGGACAUCCAUAACUUCGUGCCUCCACAUGCCGAAGUUGAUUUUCCCAUCAAAUUUUUCAACAUCGAUCUUUUGGCCUCCUACAAUAGGUGCUGAAUGGCGAUUUGACAAAUCUCGCCUCCCACCUGAAGUAUCUCCUGAAAUAGGCUCGGUAGAUCUCUCCGCAUUGCUGGAAGUUUCACAUUUUACCAUUUUCUUAACGAACUAUUUCCACUUGAAAAACAGCCUUUAUGAUGUUUAUUUCACGUGAAUAAAUGCACCAGAAAAGUUCCUACGAGAAUGGAGGGGUCACAAUGGUCCCACUUAAAACCGAGACUACUUAGGCUCUUAUCGCCUUGUUGACAGAACUUUUCUAAACAUGCAAAAAUACACGCUACUUACAAUAGAUUGUUUCCCAAAUAUAAAUGGCAAUCUCCACCGUAUUCGUGAACAGUAACAUAUACGGGAAUAGUACCGUAAACGUGAAUAGUAUCGUAUCCCCCAAGUAUGAACUGUCGGCUCUAAUACCACUUGUUGUGCGCGGAAUCAAGCGCACCAAAUAAUUAUAGAAAAAUAAAGGACACAAUUAUUUAACGUGGUUCGGUAAUUAAACCUACAUCCACGGAGGUAAGAAAGAAUAAUUGUUUAUUUAACAAUUAAUAGAGUAUAAAUAUUUGAGUAACGAAUCUCACUUCCGACAAACCCAAAUUUACCCAGUACUCUCACACUCUGCAGGAAAGAUAAAUUCCCCAGAUACACUUCUCUCACUUCUCUCAAAAGCUUAGAAACUUAUAAGUUUAACAAAUUUUAGGGAUGAUUUCCAAGUGAAGAAUGCAUCUCUAUUUAUAGCCAAAAUGAUUGUACUGUUGCACCAAACCCUUAGUCAAAUUGUCAAUUAAAUCUGCAACUAAAUUCUUCAAAAUUGACAAACACAUGCAUGCGGUGCCAACUUCCUCCAAAUUGUCAAUUAUGCAUGUGGCUUACCUUUUCUUUUUCAACCAAUUUGAAUAAACAACUCACCAAAAAUCUUUGACUUUUCAACAAAUACACCUAAUACUCUCACAAACUCUUGAAGAAAACAAUUUUCCCAAGACAAAUUCUCUCAUAUCUCUUAAAUGUAGAUCCCAGCUGAGCACCCAAGGAAACACUCUUCCAAACCUUUUAAGAGUUCACUUGCAAAUGUUUCUUUUCUCUGUACUCCCUCACAAAAAAACUAAAUUUUUUAAACUCCCUCUAUUUUGGGAUGCUUUCAAAUAAAAAAAAAGUUGCUUCUCUAUUUAUAGCCGAAGCUUACCAUGCAUGCUUUUAUUUCUAUAGCAAAAGUUUUGGCCACCUUUCAACAACUCUCUCGGAUUCUUUAAAUUUAAUGGCUUUGGUGUUAAAGUUAAAAGUUGUAUACGAAAGUACAAAAUUACAUGCUAACCACAUGCAAUUGCAUGCUACAUGCAUGUGCAUGCUCAACGCACUUAGCAUUUAAUUGCAUGAACAAAAUUGUCGAACAAUUUUAGUAUUUCAUCUUCAUGCUUUUAACAUAUAAUUACUUCGCCAAAUUGUCUUUAAUGUUUUCCACAUUCAAGUCAAAUUUUCGACAAUGUACAUAUAUCACUGAAUAUAUUUUUUUUUUUCCCAAGAGACUUUCCAAACCUAGUUUUUAUGAAUUACGAACGUAUCAUCACAUAUUAUCACAUCCAAUUUCAGCGUUUAUAAUUAAUCUCUACUCUGGUAAGUUUGGGAGGAGUCUUUAAAACAAGGUAGACGAAUCAAGGGAAGAAAUAGAAACAAGUAUAGAUGAAAUAUCUUCAACUUCUUGCGUCGAAAUCAGAAAUUUAGUUUAUCAUAGAAACUUAAAAAUAAAUUCAAUACAACGGAUCCCAACAACUUUAAUUGAUUAUGUAUUUCAAUUAAAUUCUCAUAGAGAGGGAAUUAAAUUCUUUAACUCAUAGGAACAUUUCAAUUAAGUUUACGGGGGCAACAUGGGCUUAAAUAAUGGAUGUGUAAUUUAAGGGUUCUUUUAAUCAACCCCGGGCAGGUGCUCCCGCUUCGCCAAGGCUAGCUCCGAGCGUGACACUGACAGCAGUAUAAUUCUAAAUAACAUAGUAUUUUCAUAUGGUACUUGAUUUUGAGUGGGUACUUAAAGGAGCUUCUAUUUGGUUCGGCUUAUAUACGGACCAUCUUCUUAAAUACAUAUGUAAUUGCAUGUGCUUGGUUUACUCUAAUAAUAUCCUUUGUUACAGAUCGAUGUCCGCACUUUUAAAUUCCCAGAGUGAAUAAACAUUUUGAUUUUUGCAAAGUGAAAAUCAUCUCUCUUGCUUUCUGCAUGCUAUAAGCAUACUGAUAAGAAUAAUUGGAAUAUCAUACUGAAAGUGAUAACCCUGCUCGGCAAGAUAGGAUAUUAUCAUCUUAAAUAUCAGUUUCUUGUUUUAUUAUAGGAAAAAAAAUGAAAGAAUUAAGUAAUUGGUACAGAAAUGUGAAAUAAGAGAGUCGAAAGUAAUAAGAACAGAGCAUUUUCCAAUAAUUAACGCUCAGUCAACGCUCAUUCGCCAGAGACUUCUCUUGAUUUUUAUCAUCUCAUACUGUCAUAUCCUAACGAACAAUGAACGCUCAGACUGAAGACUUUUCUUGGCUUCAAUAAUUAAUACAGAUUAUACCCAGUAUAAAUUGGCAUGGAUUGCAGGAUUUUUUAUAUCCUAAAAACUAAUGAUAAUUAAAAUGUCAUUGAAAUUGUUCCUUCUACUUCAAUAUAUGGCUUUCUUUUCUGUGCUAUUAUUUCAAUUGGAGCCCAGAAUUGCUGAAUCUAACAGCAUAAUAAUCAGGUGCAUUGAUGAGGAGAAAGAAGCGCUUCUCACUUUUGAACAGUGCCCGGUGGAUGAAUAUGGCGCUCUGUCUUCAUGGGGAAGAGAAGAUGACAAAAGAAAUUGCUGUAAAUGGAGAGGAGUCUGCUGUAACAACACAACUAGCCAUUUCAAGGUGCUUAAUCUUCGAAGUUCCAACGAUGAAAAUGCUCGAAGAAAGAUCUUGAAAGGUACAAUUAGUUCUGCUCUGCUGCUCUGCUUAAAUUGCAUGAUUUACGACAUUUGGACCUUAGUAACAAUCAACUUCGGUGGAAUCCAGUUCCUGAGUUCGUUGGUUCCCUCAGCAAAUUGAGGUACCUCAAUCUCUCUUGUGGUACCCCUUCAAUCCCUCAUCUUCAAGACCUUUCAGGAUUGCACUUCAAUUUGAGUACAUCUAUCGAGAAUCUUAUCUCUGUAACAACAAUCUCCCUUCUUCUUCAGUAUACCUUGGCUUUUUAAUCUUAGUAGGAAUAUUCUUCAUCUUAACUUGGCUAUAACCAAUUAAGAGGUUCAAUUCCAGAGACUUUUCAAGACAUGGUUUCUCUCAGAUAUCUGUCUCUCCCUUCUACUGAACUUGAAGGUGGGAUUCCAAACUUCUUCGGAAACAGCUGUAGCUUGAAUAUAUUACGCUUGCCUUUCAACUAUCUCAAUGGACAGCUCUCGGAAUUGAUUCAAAGUUUGUCCGGUGGAUGCAUGGUGAAUUCACUGGAGUCGUUGUAUUUAGGUGCCAAUGACCUCACCGGGCCAAUACAUGAUUUUGGAGGGUUUUCAUCCUGAAAGAAUUAAGACUUAGAGAAAAUGGAUUAAAUGGAACAAUAAACAAAAGCCUCGGCCAAUUGUCGAAGCUCGAGUCUCUGUCACUUGGUAGGAAUUCAUUCACAGGUGUCAUCUCUGAAACUUUUUUUAACAAUAUGUUCAACUUGCAGAUACCUACUUGAGUUGAUAACUCUUUGGACUUUGAAAUUGAGCCAUGAUUGGGUUCCUCCUUUUCAUCUGAAAAUAUUAAGUCUUGCCUCUUGCAAGAUGGGACCUCAUUUUCCAAAAUGGCUUCAAGCUCAGAAUGAACUUAUUUCACUUGAUAUUUCGAAUAAUGGAAUCUCGGAUAGUGUCCCUGACUAGUGUUGGGAUUUGUCUAUUGAACUCUCUUUGUUAGAUCUCUCUAACAACCAUAUCAUGGGUAAACUUCCCGAUUUGUCCUUGUUAAGGUCUGAUAAUAUUGUCAUAGAUAUCAGUUCAAACCACUUUGAGGGCCUAAUUCCACCGCUUCCUUCAAAUUCUAUAUCAUUAAAAACUCUCAAAAAAUAAGUUUUCAGAGUCAAUUACUUUCUUAUGUUCAAUCAGUCAAAACACAUGGAACUUUUUUUAUCUCUCGGAUAAUUUAUUAUCUAGAUAGCUUCCUGAUUGUUGGUUGUACUUUGAUAGCCUAUCCAUUCUUGACUUGGCAAACAAUAGCUUCUCCGGAAAAAUUCCAAACUCGAUGGGUUUCCUACGUAAUAGCCGAACACUGAGUUUACACAACACUAGGUUAACUAGGGAAUUGCCUAAAGAAACGAGUGUUUUUCAUUUCUUAAGUAAAAUAUUAUACAUUGAUCAUAUUUAUAGAUGCAGAUGUUACAAUUUUUUUCAAAAAUUAGACACACGUAUUACGGAAGGAUCUCACCAACCGUGUUGUUGACGUUCGGUGCAGAUCGUGUCUUUGACAACUUCUAUUCAAUGCCGUUUUAGUUGACAUUCUCAACAUUGCCUUCAUCUUCAAGGAAUUGCUCACAACUGAGAGCUUUGGAUCUCAAGAAGAAUGCAUUUUUUGGUGAGAUACCAACGUGGAUAGGGGGAAGUCUACAAAAUUUGACUGUUCUUAGCCUAAAAUCUAACAAAUUUCAUGGAAAUAUACCUUAUCAAUUGUGUAAUCUGCGAUUUAUUCAAAUCUUGGAUCUUUCUUCAAACAUUUUAUCGAGAAAGAUACCAAAGUGUUUCUAUAAUUUUUCAGCCAUAACCAAGAAAGAAGUUCCAAUCCUACCAUCGGGUUCGGGCAAUACGUGGUCGUUCACCUUGGAAUUGCAUAUGAAUUCAGCUAUUUGGACACUUUACAGUGGACUUGGAAAGGAAGUGAGAACGAGUACGAAAAUACUUUGGGACUUGUAAAGUGCCUUGACCUUUCGAAUAACAAAUUAUGCGGAGCAAUUCCUGAAGAGAUUAUGGAUGUUUUGGGUUGAUUGCCUCAAACCUUUCGAGAAACAAUUUAAUUGGAGCAAUCCCUCCAAAGAUUCGUCAGUUAAAAUCAUUGGAUUUCCUGGAUUUAUCUAGAAACCGGUUUUCUGGAAGCAUUUCGUCUGGCCUUACUCAGUUAAGUCGUCUUGGUGUCUUAGACUUGUCGGACAACAGCUCGUCAGGAAAAAUCUCAUUAGGCACUCAGAUCCAGAGCUUCAAUCCUUCAGUGUAUGCUGGAAAUCUUGAACUUUGUGGCCUUCCACUUCAAAAUAAUUGCCGGAUGAAGAAUCAGCUCCAUGUCCAGGCAUCGAAGAUGAUGCAAACACUCCAGAAGAUGAGGAUGAUCAGUUUAUAACUCUCGGAUUUUACAUGAGCUUGAUUCUUGGUUUCUGUGUUGGAUUCUGGGAGUCUGUGGAACUUUAAUGCUGAAUCAACUUCUGGAAUGGUAUGAAAGAUUCGCUCUAUGUGACAGCAGCUGUGAAUAUUGCAACACUGCAAAGAAAGUUCAGGAGCUAAUUAAACGGUAAUACUCCUUAAUUUCAAUUGUGUUUCAGUCAUCAUAAUCGGCUCACAUGCUUUUAAUUUCUUCAUCCUUAAAUUUUGGUCUUUCCUCUUGCAAGCUUUUGUUCCUCUAAACACUUGUUCAUAAUUUUUUUUUUCCAAUUAAUCACCGUCUUUUCAGCAGGGUCUCUCUGGAGGACGGCUCGCAUUAUGUCGUUUAUUAUUCAGAGUGCUCAUUUGAUAUUAGGAAUCUUUCUAAAAUUAAAAUGUGCUCUCAUACGCUGCACAUUGUAUGUUGAGUGUAGGCUUUAAAGAAACUUGUAUGUGGUUCUCUUUAGACCAUCGUUGAUCUAUGCGUCUAUAUACUUUGGUUAGAGUUUAAUUAUACUAUUAACCCAUUAUAGCAAUAAAGAUCGUCAAAUUCUGUUCUGCUAUUGAUCAAUGCUAGCUUUUUUGCUUUUCAUUGGUGAAUAAAUUUAACUUUUAUUUGGCAAAUAAAAAAUAUCUCAGAAUUUUGCAUGUAUUACACCUCUCCAUUACUAUUAACCGAUUAUUAAGAUAAACUCCUUUUUAUUUCCUUUAUAUUAAUUGAUCCCGCAAACGGAAUAAACUUCAAUAAGAACAAUAGAGAUCUAGCUAAACAAUAUUCAAAACGACAUAGUAAACAUAAGUAUAAAGCUAAAACACACAACACAACUACGAAAAAUUAAAAUAACUAUUGUGCAUCCGUAGAGAAUUUGUAUCUUGGAAAUCUAUUAAUGUCUCAUUAUUCGGUAGAAGAAAGUAAAGCCAAAUUAGCCAUUAGAAAAGUCUUGGAUGUUUUUAGAGUACCGUUCUUUUUUUAUUUAUCACUUAUCACGUGUAUCCUUUAAACCAAUCAUAAUCUUAUAAAGUAGUGAAUAUAAUUAAGGAACAAUGGUCCAGGAGCACCGAAAACCCAUCAUGUCAUGAGCACUAUUUGAUUCCAGCAAAGUGAAUGAUAAUAAAUAACAAAAGACAAAAAAAAAUUAUAUUAAAUUAAAGAGUUGGUGACUAAUAAAAUUAUUAAAUGGAUGGUAAAAUUAACUGAUAUUUAAACUAGAAUAAUCUUAUUAACAAAGUAGGGGUAGAUUCGUAUGAUUCCAGAUCAUUGGUACUAAAAUGUGAACAAAGAGAUCGAACUUUACAAGAAAUUGCGCUUACUGUAGUCGAACCAGUUAUUGAUUAAAUUUCCACGAAGAUGACAUGUAAUGACGACUAUCAAAGAAAUAGAAGACCACACAAGGCUUUCUAUCCUAUUUUUUAUCAAUUUUACCAACGUAUCACCACAAAACCAUCACAUUCAAGUCCCAGCUGAUUCUAGCUAACGUGUUACUACUAAAGUCCAUUAAUAAUGCAUUGCAUUUUCACAGCCAUGGUCAAUUUCAGCGUUUCUCAUCAUUGCACUCUGUUUCGGUAAGUUUGGUAGGAAUCUUUAAUACAAUGUACAAGAAUCAAGGGAAGAAAUAAGAAAUGAUAAAGGAAUGCAAGUGGAAGAUAUAAAUUGUGAGAGCAUUUCGAUUCAGUUUUAUGGGGGCAUAAGCUUGACUUAGAUUGCCAAAUUGUUAAUACUCAUAGUUUACCAAAUAUGUACCUGACUACAUUCUUGUCUAAUUGAUUAUUUCCAAAAAUGGAGCUAGUAUUACACAAACAGCCCAUAAAUUGCAUUCAUUAUUAAAGUUUCUGUUCCUAUGAGCUGAAUUGAAACACCUCCAUGACACAGGAAAAGGAGAUUCCCAUUAUAAACAUGCUCUUAAAGAGUUAAAGAGACAAGUACAUGAGGAUAUGGCAAUUGUAUGGUUCCCUUGGGCAUCCCAACCAACCAAAAAUGGGAUUUUGGCAGAAUUAGGCAGUAGACUCCACCACCAUCCUGCUUUAUUUUCAAAAUAUCCCAGGUGGAUUAUCUAUAUUCUAAUUCUUCGCACCCUCCAUUCUCCAUACUCUUCUUCUAUAUAUUAUCUCAUCGUUACUCUCUAUUUUGGUAAGUUUGGUAGGAAUCUUUAAUACAAGAAUCAAGGGAAGAAAUAGAAGUGGAAAUAUAGUUGGUGACAGCACUUCAAUUAAGUUCAUGGGGGCGUAAACUUAAUUAAUGGAUGCAAUUUUAAGAGCUUUUCUCUAAUCAACUGUCGCAACUGCCCCCAGUUGCACAAGACUAACUCCAUGUGUGACACUGACAGCACACAGCAGUGGUGAAUAAUAUUGCCAAAUUGCAACAAAGCUUGGGGAGCUAAAUUGAUAAUGCUUAUAGUUUACCAGACAUGUACCUCACUUCAUUUUUGUCUAAUUGAUUAUUUCCAAGGAUGGAGCUAGCAUUAGGCAAGUGGGGGCAGUUGCCUUCACUUGAUUAAGACAGCCUGUAAAUUACAUUCAUUAUUUAAAUCUCUAUCACUAUGAACUAACUUGAAAUACCUGAAUGAGUUGAAGUUACAAUCCCUUAAAUUUAAUACAUUAUUAAAUUGUCCCUAUAAACUAAACUUCUGGUUCGUCCUUUACUAUCUCAUCAGCCCAAUAAAAGUGAAUAACUUUAUAAGCAGCAUGCAACAACCCCAAACUGAGUCUAAGAAUGAAGUUUAUUUUAUUUCUCUAAAAAUUCUAUAAAAAACUUCUAUUUUUUAACAACCAUUUAAAAAGACUAUUAAGAAAUUUCUUUUUCCAAAGGCAUAUUGACCUGAGCAAAGACUUGUUGAGGACAAGGUUUAGCUACUUCUGUGCAGAAUAUAAACCAUGAAAGGCAAGACUUGACAAUAUAUCGUCAAUACUAAUGAUAACUAAAAUAUCAUUUUCAGAGACCUUGUUAAUUUACACUAUAAUGUAACUUAACACCACUUCUUGUUAAUUUACAUUAUAAUGAAACUUAACACCACUUCAUUUUCUUGAGACGACUAUUGAUUCGACUGAAGACUCUGUUGUUGACUCAAGACUAUUGACUUGAAUGAAUUGUUGAUCUUUCUUGUGCAUGCAUUACCACCUUAGUAAUUCAAUUUCAACCCUCUGACUGUUUUGCAAACUGAUCAUGACAAAAGGGUCCUCUGAAUUGAUAAGUUACUAAUUAAGUAUUUCUAUAUUAGUUAAUUGUAUUGAAAAUAAGGGAGAAACUUAUCCUUCUCUGCAAUAUACACUUGCAGCCACACCAAUCACUUCUUAAAGUCGCAUAGGAAAAAUAAUGUGUUAAUCCAGGACAACAGCCUCAUCCAAUUUGAAUAUGGCAUCAUCAUAUCUUAAAUAGAUAAUGUUAUGAUUUUUAUACCACAGAAUAUAUGCCUUUUUAACUGAAUACAUCAACAAAAGUAUGCUGGUAAAUAUAUUUAUCAAGAAGACGAUUACUGGCCAUUUCAUUAAAGACUUAAAAGGCAUGUAAGUUGUUGAAGGAUCAGAAUUGUAUCUAAUCUCUCUAUUCACAUACUUCAACAGAAACCAUCUUUCUUCUAUCAUCUCUCAUCUCUCAUCUUUUCACCUUUUCCAUUCUUCUAAAAUUAUCUCUUCUGUAUUUUCUGAUUUAAGGGGUUGCUGGAAUUAUGAAUCUAGUUUGUACUCUUAUAGGUAUUGGAAAUAAUCAAAAGCCACAGAGCAAGCAGAAAGUCAAUGAAGCCUUUGGAUUGGAUUGCUAUUGCAUAUUAAGCUCCUGUUGCAGCAUCUACUGCUAUUUUUUUAAAUCUACUCAAUUGGUCAACAAAAUUUUUCGGAUGCUUCUAAAAAUAUUUAUACGUAUAAUACCUUUUACUUAAGAUUGUCCUCCAAGCUGAGAACCAAGAAACAGUUAAACAAAAAGGUUUUCUUUCUGCAUUAGUAUUUAUAAACUCAAAACUUGACACACUAGACUAAAUCUCUAUCUAACUUUCACACAAACGGCAAAAGAGGAGUCCACGCAAUUGUGUCACAAAAUCCAUAAGCAUGUCAUCACAAAAACAUGUAGAGAAUUUAGAUUAUUAAUUUUCAACAAAGAGCAUCUGAAUUUUUUCAGCAUCAAGAUCAGAACCAAACUAGAUAACAGAUAUACAAUAAGGCAAGUGGUGAAGAAAUAGAGCAAAGACACUCGGAAAAGGCAGAUUUAAGUUCGAUGAGCUCUAGAUGCUUAACCCAAAAAUAGCAGAUAUUGCAGGUUUAUAUAAUAAGAAAGAUGACACAGAAAAAGCAUGGACAAACUCACAGCUCUGUUGAAAGCAGAAACUCCAGCAUUGGCUUGCAGCCACACUCAGUCUAGUCCUGAAAUCAGACUGAAUUUGGGUAGGCGUAAAACAGGACAGCAGCCUCAUCCAAUUAUGUUCACCUACAAACAUUCAAAGUCAUACAAGUUUCUUUCUAUAAAUGAGAAAAAUACAGUAAUUUUGAGAAACAUAAAGAUAAUUCAAACUUAAAAAUAGCAUAAGAACAAAAAAAAUUUCAAUUUCAUUGGAUGUAUAGAAUUAAUUUGCCACAGAGCUUCCAGUAUAGAGCAGUAUUCUUCAAUAUCUUAUCUUAGGCCAUGCAAAAGAGACAUAACAUGUUAAUGCUAGUUGUACAAAAAGCAAGUUGUUCUUAUAAAUAUGAUAUGUGAAUAAUGUGCUACUAACACCUAGAAUAUUUUCAUAUUUUAUGACAUAAAAACAAGUACAUCAAUGUAAUUCUGAGUUCUUUACUGUCAUAACCUCAAUUCUUUGGGGAUCAUCUCUGAUACUCUGUAUCUUAAGUUACCAUUUUCUGUACCAAUUUACAAUUACACAACAAAGAUUAUCAGUCACUCCUUAUACCACCAAGGUAGAUACAAAUAAAGCAAUGAAAUAACUUUUACAACAACCUUCUCAGAUUCGAGUUUGUACCCACUAAUCCUUUAAACUAUGGUCUUUCUUUUUCUUGAUUACUCUACUUAUAUCACAAUCAUCCUGUCCAAGAAUUGUUAUAGCUAGUGACCAAAACCUAACUUCGGGCUGGCUUUACUCCAUUUAGAUUUUUAACUCCCAGGUCAUUAACUGACAACACUAAUUUUGAUGAAUCACAAGGAAGCCAUUUGGACUUCAUGCUCUUUGCUCUCAAAGAAACCAAGGUCCCGAUUCUCAAAUUCCAAAAAGUUAAGCACACCAGAAACCAGAUUAUGUUUGCAUUGUCUCAUAGAUGUCAGUAAAACCCAAAUUCUAAAGAACUACAAACGAAUUUGAUUCGGUUCUGAAUUAAUCAAAAAUGAAUCAAUACAAUACAGUAGUAAAAAUAUUUCAUUUAUGAAUGAAACUACAGGAUUUUCAUGAUGUUUAAAAUAAUAGUACAAUAGGAUCCAACCAACAUAAACCAGUGGCCAACCUGUUAUGAAUCUCUCACAAAACCCUGGAGCCCUUACAACUAUUUCAAGAUGUUUUCUCCAUCAGUUUUAUUGGGGUGUCAGAAUAGUUGANAAGAAGAAGAAUAUUUUUCAUAAAGAGAAAUGAGAAAAAUCCUAAAUAAUAAUGUAGCAUAAAUACUUUAAUUUUCUAGUUAAGUAUAUUAUUCAAUUUUCUCUUCGAUAUUAAUUUCAAAAUUGUCAGACUUAUUACAAAUUGUUACCAACGAAGUUGAUGUAACUCAAUUAUCUGACAUUAAUUAUGGAUAUGAAUAAUUAAAUUUUGCGUGUUUAAUAAGUGGGUUGUGUUCGAAUCCGUUUAAUCCCGUCAUGACACGAAUCAAGAACAUGAUUAUUAGCUUAAUUUGUAUAAAGUUUUAGGAAAAAAAGGGUGUCCGUUAUAAAAACGGGAGAGAGAGAUGAACCGGGUCGACCCGUCAUCAUCGCCAGAAACCGGACGGAGCGUCGCGUUUGAAGCACGAAAAUUGCGGCUAAAACCCAUCACCAUCACCUUCGAUCUCGCCGGAAUUAGGCCUCGCCACCGCCUGGAUCUUUCUCCUCAGCUCACCCUCAUCAUUUUCAGACGGGUCCCGUCACCUGAAACGGUCGUUUAGCCGCCGGUCGGCCGCCGGAGGUUCACGUUUUUUUAAGCUCGAUUCGUCGUCGCUUCCGCGCGUGAAUUGUCACCGCUGGCGCCAUCGGCCUCAACGUGGUCCGCACUAUCAGAUCUGAGUUUCCCGACCACCAUUGACUGAACUACGGGCAUUUCGGUAAUUUCACAUAUUGGUGGAUAAUUUAGUAAUUUCAGACUAAGGGCAGUUAGUUAAUCUAGAUUUUGGGGUAAUUUGGUAAUUUAAGUCUUUUAAGGCAUUUUGAUAAUUUCAUACUCCGAGGGUAAUUUCAUAAAUUCAUAUCUUAGUAGACAAUUUGGUAAUUAGAUUGAGGGCAGUUUAGCAAUUCGCCACUUCAGGGUAAUUUGAUAAUUUAUGUUUCAAGGGUGUUUUGUAAUUUAAGAGAUAGGAGUGUUUUAGUAAUUUUAGGGAAUUAGAAGAUGUGUAAUAGGAAUAAAUAAUCAUUUCGAGUUUUAUUGCAUAGGAUUAUUGUAUUUCACAUAUACGUGUGGUAAUUAUGUCGUUUCCUUCAAUUAAAGAGACUCUCAAACGAGAAUCAACUCACACACAUGAACAAAA